CCCGCGCGGAGACCAAGUGAACACACAGUUUGUAUGUGAUUGUUGCUUAUAUCCUUAGCAUCAGGAUACAUUCGCAUCGAUUGCUCAACUCUCCGAUGGAUCCAAAGAAAAGUACUGAGAAUGGCGUGGAGGACAGUGUGGCCAGUAAUGAUGAAGAUCUGUAUGUUUGUGACCAGUACAGUGUGGCCAGCAGUGUGGACAGCACAGCAGAGGAAAUGUUAAGGAACGGUCUUGACCCUGUUCUAGAUUGAUCGACAAUGAAAGUGACGUGAGAUGUGGCCUACCCAUACUCUGAAUUAGAGCUCUGCAUUUAUCCGAUCCAAAGUGCAC